GAUGAACGCUGGCGGCGUGCCUAAUACAUGCAAGUCGAGCGAACGGACGAGAAGCUUGCUUCUCUGAUGUUAGCGGCGGACGGGUGAGUCACACGUGGAUAACCUACCUAUAAGACUGGGAUAACUUCGGGAAAUCGGAGCUAAUACCGGAUAAUAUUUUGAAUCGCAUGGUUCAAAAGUGAAAGACGGUCUUGCUGUCACUUAUAGCUGGAUCCGCGCUGCAUUAGUUAGUUGGUAAGGAAACGGCUUACCAAGGCAACGAUGCAUAGCCGACCUGAGAGGGUGAUCGGCCACACGGGAACUGAGACACGGUCCAGACUCCUACGGUAGGCAGCAGUAGGGAAUCUUCCGCAAUGGGCGAGAGCCUGACAGAGCAACGCCGCGUGAGUGAUGAAGGUCUUCGGAUCGUAAAACGCUGUUAUUAGGGAAGAACAUAUGUGUAAGUAACUGUGCACAUCUUGACGGUACCUAAUCAGAAAGCCACGGCUAACUACGUG
rnacentral:rRNA from 1 species